UCACUCUGGAUGUCGUAGACUUUCCUGGCCUGGACCACAUCAUUGGAGUCGGGGAGGCAGGUCCACUGGUGCAGCUUGGUCCUGUAGUUGAAAUCAUUCACUUGGACUUGGCAUUUCUUUGCCAGCUCCAGACUCAACAUGUCGACGGGGAGGUGGAACUUGGUCUUGGAUUUGUUGAAGUCCUUCUUGUAGAUAGCGUCACUGGCAAUUUUGGCAGAAUUUAUGGCCAGCAUCAUCAGAGGGUCGUCCUGAACACAUCUGGCACCAAUGUGAUGUCCAACCUGCUUGCGGUAUCCUGUCUUGUAC
ensembl:lncRNA